GACGAACGCUGGCGGCGUGCCUAAUACAUGCAAGUCGAACGCAGUGGGGACGGGUGAGUAACACGUGGGUAACCUCCCAUCAGAGGGGAUAACACUUGGAAACAGGUGCUAAACCGAUACUGAUGGAUGGACCCGCGGUGCAUUAGCUAGUUGGUGAGGUAACGGCUCACCAAGGCCACGAUGAAUAGCCGGCCUUGGAGGGUAGUCGGCAAGACUGGGACGGAGGCGCGGCCCAGACUCCUACGGGAGGAAGCAGGAGGGAUACAUCGGCAAUGGACGAAAGUGUGACCGAGCAACGCCGCGUGAGUGAAGAAGGUUUUCGGAGCGUAAAGCUCUGUUGUUAGAGAAGAGGUAUCUAACCAGAAAGCCACGGCUAACUACGUGCCAGCAGCCGCGGUAAUAC
rnacentral:rRNA from 1 species